AGAACGAACGCUGGCGGCAUGCCUAACACAUGCAAGUCGAACGAACCCUUCGGGGUUAGUGGCGCACGGGUGCGUAACGCGUGGGAAUCUGCCCUUAGGUACGGAAUAACUCAGGGAAACUUGUGCUAAUACCGUAUGAUGUCGAGAGACCAAAGAUUCAUCGCCUAAGGAUGAGCCCGCGUUGGAUUAGCUAGUUGGUGGGGUAAAAGCCUACCAAGGCUACGAUCCAUAGCUGGUCUGAGAGGAUGAUCAGCCACACUGGGACUGAGACACGGCCCAGACUCCUACGGGAGGCAGCAGUGGGGAAUAUUGGACAAUGGGCGAAAGCCUGAUCCAGCAAUGCCGCGUGAGUGAAGAAGGCCUUCGGGUUGUAAAGCUCUUUUACCCGGGAUGAUAAUGACAGUACCGGAGAAUAAGCUCCGGCUAACUCCGUGCCAGCAGCCGC
rnacentral:rRNA from 1 species